GCCAACGCUACUCGCUUUGACCGAGAGGAAUCUGUAAGUAUGAAGAUAAAUGUAUGCCUUUAAUAAGCAGUUAUUAUUAAUAAUAUGUAUUUUAAAGUCUAUAGUUUAUGCAUAUGUAUGAUUUUCAAGUCCGACAAAGAACAUAGAAACAAAAAAUGA
rnacentral:rRNA from 17 species